AUUGAACGCUGGCGGCAGGCUUAACACAUGCAAGUCGAGCGGAGAUGAGGUGCUUGCACCUUAUCUUAGCGGCGGACGGGUGAGUAAUGCUUAGGAAUCUGCCUAUUAGUGGGGGACAACAUUCCGAAAGGAAUGCUAAUACCGCAUACGUCCUACGGGAGAAAGCAGGGGAUCUUCGGACCUUGCGCUAAUAGAUGAGCCUAAGUCGGAUUAGCUAGUUGGUGGGGUAAAGGCCUACCAAGGCGACGAUCUGUAGCGGGUCUGAGAGGAUGAUCCGCCACACUGGGACUGAGACACGGCCCAGACUCCUACGGGAGGCAGCAGUGGGGAAUAUUGGACAAUGGGGGGUACCCUGAUCCAGCCAUGCCGCGUGUGUGAAGAAGGCCUUAUGGUUGUAAAGCACUUUAAGCGAGGAGGAGGCUACUGAGACUAAUACUCUUGGAUAGUGGACGUUACUCGCAGAAUAGGCACCGGCUAACUCUGUGCCAGCAGCCGCCGUAA
rnacentral:rRNA from 1 species